AGAGUUUGAUCCUGGCUCAGAUUGAACGCUGGCGGCAUGCCUUACACAUGCAAGUCGAACGGCAGCACGGGGGUAACCCUGGUGGCGAGUGGCGAACGGGUGAGUAAUACAUCGGAACGUGUCCUGUAGUGGGGGAUAGCCCGGCGAAAGCCGGAUUAAUACCGCAUACGAUCUACGGAAGAAAGCGGGGGAUCCUUCGGGACACCUCGCGCUAUAGGGGCGGCCGAUGGCAGAUUAGCUAGUUGGUGGGGUAAAGGCCUACCGAGGCCAACGAUCUGUACCGGUUUGAAAAGACCAACAGCCACACUGGGACUGAGACACGGCCCGACUCCUACGGGAGGCAGCAGUGGGGAAUAUUGGACAAUGGGGGAAACCCUGAUCCAGCAAUGCCGCGUGUGUGAAGAAGGCCUUCGGGUUGUACAGCACUUUUGUCCGGAA
rnacentral:rRNA from 1 species